rnacentral:lncRNA from 1 species
CUCUUCUUUCUUUUACUCCCAUUUCCUUCCAGGUUUGCGGUCCCCCUCGCACCCACGAAUAACUGAGUCCCGCGGGACGGGAUAAGUGGCGCCCGACGUGAGGGCGAGGUCCAGAUCGUAAUUCCUAAUCAGUGGAGGUUCCAGAGAAGUUCGUCGCGACCCCAAGAAUUUAAAAGUAGUGAAGGACACCUUCCGCUGCUCACGGAAGAGCGAGAAGUCCUUGUUUGUUCUAGGAACUUUUUGCCAGUGGCCUGUGUCUCAGAAGUGCUUCGGGGCCUGUGACCUCUAAGCAGAAGGACAUGCCGAGAAGUCAGACUUUUCUGAUCCAGAAAAAAAAAUCUUGUACAAAUAUCUGAAGAUACCUGAUUGACAUGGAUCAGCAGAAGAGGGUGAUCUGAGUUCCUCUGGAUGUGAGUUCAAAGACAGAAAUUUAUCUUCUUAGCAUCCUACAAGCCAGAAGGCCAAGAUGAAGAUGUUUGAUGGAAUGUGCAUUUUUACAACAGGAGACACUGGGAGCAGGAGGUGGCUCAGCAGUUAAGUGUGUAUUGCUUUGGCAGAACCUAGCUUGGUCCUAUCUAAAGCCUGUAACCGAGCUUCACUGGAUCUGAUACCUCUGGUCUCCUCUGGCUCCUGUACAUAUCCAAAAUUAAAAACAAUAAAAAUCAAUCUUAGAAA